rnacentral:rRNA from 1 species
AAUGAACGUUGGCGGCAUGGAUUAGGCAUGCAAGUCGGGGGAAUCCCAGCAAUGGGGGAACCGGCGUAAGGGGCAGUAAGGCAUGGGUACCUACCUUGGGGUUCGGGAUAGCCAUCAGAGAUGGUGGGUAAUACCGGAUGACGUCGUGAGACCAAAGAUUUAUCGCCCUUAGAGGGGCCCAUGUGAUAUUAGCUAGUUGGUGGGGUAACGGCCCACCAAGGCGAAGAUGUCUAGCGGGUGUGAGAGCACGACCCGCGCCACUCGCACUGAGACACUGGCGAGACACCUACGGGUGGCUGCAGUCGAGGAUCUUCGGCAAUGAGCGCAAGCUUGACCGAGCGAUGCCGCGUGAGCGAUGAAGGCCUUCGGGUUGUAAAGCUCUUUAGUGGGGGAGAAAAGCCGCAAGGUGUGAUCUAUCCCAAAAAUAAGCACGGGCUAAGUUCGUGCCAGCAGCCGCCGUAA